CCUUAAUUUAAAACGGUAUCAUUGAGAAAAUAAAACUCGGCAUAAGAGUAAUAAACGAUAGUUGAUAACUAGAUAAUCGAUAGAUAAGGCCAUUUGAUUCUUAGGGCUAGUCUUCUGCGCUAAUAUUCUUCAUUCAACAUUUUAAAUCGUAGGUGGCAAGUGUAAGUAUUCUAGUUAUCUGUUAUUGUAAACUAGCCUUUUUUGACACGCAUAUUUUAAAAUGAAUAAUUUAUUUUUUAUUAAAAUUUAUUUAGUUUGUUAUUAAUAUAGUUUCAAUAUUGAAAUUACGUGUUUAUUAAAAAAGGCCUUAAAUUUAUUGUUAAUAUUGAAUUAAUAAUUUUAAUUUUGUACGUCUUUAAUUUAUGAGGCUUUACUAAGGUAAACUCUAAUGCCGCUGUUAGAUAUAAAGAGACCCAAAGCAAGUAUGGUUUUUUGGGGCCUUGUUAAUUUUUUUUUGUAAUUGAGACCUUUUCUUUUACUUUUUUCUAAUGAUUGGUUGCAUUAGGUCCGAGCGCAAGAAAUCGCGUUCCCUAGUGCAAAACAAUUCUGUAACUAAUAUCUAAAAUUUUGUUUUGUCAAAAAAAUUUGUUUUUUAGUUUUGUAAAAUACAUGUCACUCGUGUCUCUUGCAUUCUAAGCCCCUUAUAUCGCAGUACGAGUAUUUUGUACUGAAUAUUUUUAUUUUUUCUAUCGCUUACUGAAUUUUAGCUCUUAUUUUUCUGUUUGCAAGAAUCAUAGCCACAAAAUUUUGUGGUUAUGAGGUGCAUCUAAAAUAACAUCUUAAAGAAUGCUGGUUGUAUUUUUUUUCACCACAAAUAUUUUGAAUAAAAAUAUAUCUACAAUAUAACAAAUGUCCACAAUGUUUUAACAAAUUAAUAAUUUUUUUUUUUUUUAUGUCUGUUGCCACUUUUUCUCAGCUCUCACUGGACCGAUUUCUUCCAACAAUACGUCAAAAGAUCACAAAUCGUAUCUAGUUGAAGACAUUACCCUUAAAAAUUGAAAAAUUUUCCCUCGUUCCUCGCAAAUGGGGGAAAUAUCCAAACAAAUUACAAAUUAAAAUAUCGCUAAUUUUCGAAAUUAUCUCGUAUAGUAUAUAUGAUAUUAACUCAAAAAUUUGAAACUUUAAAUAGUUAAAUUAUACAUGUCAAAACUUGAUGGGACAUCCUAUUUAUGUACAUUAGAUUCUGACAUGAAUUAUGUAUGUUGUAUUAUUAUUAACAUACAUAAUUUUCUAAUUUUGUGGGGAGAGACUAAGCCCCCCUCUAGAACUCCUUAGUUACGCUAUUGAUAAGAGAGUCAACAAUUUUUGAACCAAUGUAUAAAUAAAAUUUAUUUUUCCAUGUAAAAUAUUUAGAAUGAACUUCACUGCUAUAAAUAGAUCUCUGAAAUAUUUUUAAUCUAAUUAAAAUUUAACAAUACAAUUAUUUGAAUUACUAAUUAUAAUCUAUCUUAUCUAAACAAUAUGAUGAUUGACAUUUCACUAAAAGUUAUAUUUAUUUUUUUAAUUAAUGAAUUUUAAUUAAAAGUGUAAAUAAGGAGAUGUAUUUCACUUUCACCAAUAGAGGGGGGGAGGUGGAGGUAAGAAAAGGGGGCCACCACAGCCCAAAAAUGAAAACAAAAAAAAAUUUAGAGGUGCUUGCAAUCACUGUGGCCAAAAUGGCCACAUUGAAAAUUUUUGUCACCUAAAAGCUGCUGGUCUGCCUCCAGUGGCAAUAAUAUGCCCCCAUUGCGGUUUCCCCGGGCACGGGGAAAUGGAAUGCCAUGUCAAAGCAGCUGGUUAUCCACCAUUUAAAAAGACUUGUGGUCAUUGCCAUUUCCCCGGGCACGGGGAACAGGAGUGCCACAUUAAAGCAGCAGGAUUGCCGCCGCUGCCGCCUCCUUCGUCAUUGGACAAAUAAAAAAUUAAUUAAAAAACAAAUUAUUUGAUUUUUACAAUAAAUUACAUUUAAAAAAAAAA